GGUAGAGCACUUGACUUUUAAUCAAGUUGUCCGGGGUUCGAAUCCCCGCACG
rnacentral:tRNA from 1 species